rnacentral:lncRNA from 1 species
ACACAGCAGUAUCUGCACUGCUGGGGAAGAUGCUGGUGACUGCACUCGCAGUGCCCUGCCUAUGAGGGGCUCCAGGGCAUGCUCUGAGUGCUCUGUGGUUAUGGUUACUUCUGGGGGCCAUGCGUGUGUGAUUGUGCGUGUGCGCGUGCGUGUGAGCGAGCUGCCCUCACCACUGCAGAACGCAACUGAAAUGAAGACAGCGACAGAUCAGAUCCACACAUAGACAAGGCCUCACUGCUGGGAUUAGGCUCUGUGCCCACUAUUUUGGUCCACAUAAAGGCUGUUAGCAAGAAAGUAUUACUAAUGUAAACUAUGAGGAAUACUGGCUCAGCCGCUCCUGUGAGAAGCUUUGCACUCUCCACCGCCCCCCAGCAAUGCACAGCCCCACCUUUUCCAGCGCUUCACGGACCACUCUCUCUGUUUCCCGCUUGUGGUCCGACUUCAUCCUGUCUUUAAAGUCAUUAAAAAUUUUGGUGUACUU